rnacentral:lncRNA from 1 species
CAGGGAUUGAACCCAGGUGUGCUUAACCACUGAGCCAUAUCCCCAGGAUCUCACUGAGUUGCUUAGGGUUUCUCUUAGUUACUGAGGAUGGCCUGAAACUUGGAAUCCUCCUGCCUCAACCUCCCAAGUUGCUGGGAUUGCAGUCCUGUGCCACCAUACCUGCCCAGCUGCUACCAUUUCUUUUUGAGGGGACCCAUUAUCAGUCUUGUGUCUGGAAAGGAUGACUUAGAAGAGCCAGUUACAAAGUCAGGAUUGGCAGGUUAAUUUCUCAUACAAUUGGACUUCCAUGAAAUUAGAGUAGCUGUGAGGGUGGGCAGGGUAGAGAACUAGAAAGGAUUUGAAUGGGCUUGCAGUAGGUAAUUCAGAAUGUAAUAGUAAUUUGUGUGUCUUAGGAAAGUUUUUAGAUGAUGUCUUUUUAGCUUUGGGAAAAGAAGGAAUUGUGUUGUAAUUGAAUUUUAUUAAUUUUAUGCUGUUGUCUUUUCUGCAAAUAUUAGGAGGUCGUACAGCAAGCAGAUGAUGACACAAACACUGACAACUAACACAAAGUGGUUAUUAUGUGCCGGGUACAUUCACUCAUUUACUUCCUGCCACAACCUUCAUCAAUUCACAGAUGAGGAGACUGAGGCCAGAGAAAUUAAGGAGUUUGCAUCAGGUCACAUAGCUACUAAGAGUGACAGCCAGAAUAUCAAUAAAACCUUAUUUUUAUUCAAAUAUAGUAUGAUUAAAGGCAACUCCACAAACAUCAUUGGGCUCAGAGAAGGGUGUGCGUUAUACUUCUAAAAUGGCUUUUCAAAUAGUGACAUUUUAGGCAGAAUUUAAAUCCCUACAGGUUUAACCUGUUUUCUAAAGAUCUGGGUCUGAUUUUAUACAAAGACAUUUUUCAAAGUUUUCUACAUGGCUCUGAUUUUGAAGGCGUCUUGUGGCUCAGAUUUCUGUCUCUUGUGGAACUUCAAUUCAAGGUACUAACAAUUAAGGUUGAUUUUGAACAUGACUCCUCCUUCACAGCAGCCUUUAGCAGAGGCCCAAGACCUCUGUGCUCUCUCCAGACAGCUCCCCAUUGUGUUCUGCAGGGCAGGUCAAUUCAAAGAUUCCACAUUAUUUUUCAGGUUUGGAAGCUGAAAACAUUUGAUCGAUAAGCUAAAAAAUAGCCUUGUAUUUUUCUGAUUAUUAGACCUUUCAUAGCAACUCAAAAUUAGUCAAAAAGAAAAGCAUGUAUUACAAUAUAUUUACAUUUGCUUUAUACAAAGAAUUCAAUGCAAAAUGUCAUAUACAUAAUGAUAUAGAUUUUUAAAUAAACCAAAGUGGAUUUUUACGCUAAAAAAAAAAUCAAAGCAUGUAUUAGAAACUUUGUCGUACAGAAAUAUUGCUCUUUUUUUUUUUUUUUGGUCUUAUAUUACAAUAUCUCAUUCACACUUGUCCAAAAAACUCUUUUUCACCCACUAUGUAAAUACUUAUUAUUUUUUUUUAAUUCACAAAGCAUAAACUUUGAAAUGGAUUCCUGCUAUCCACCCAAGCUAUAAAAGAGUACUUUUUUGUAGUUUGUACAUAUCAAAUUGCUUGGAUUUUUUUUUUACUGAGAAUUUUAAUUUAUCCAUGAGAUAUUUGAUGAGAAUAUGUAGCUAAAUUAUAAUGUAACCUACCAACUCUAACAAAUAAUAAAUGAAAAACAAAUGUGUUUAUUCAUAAUGUUAAAAAUAUUUGUAGUAAAAAAUUAAAUGCUAUUCAAGU